rnacentral:rRNA from 1 species
AGUGAACGCUGGCGGUAGGCCUAACACAUGCAAGUCGAACGGCAGCACAGUAAGAGCUUGCUCUUACGGGUGGCGAGUGGCGGACGGGUGAGGAAUACAUCGGAAUCUACUUUUUCGUGGGGGAUAACGUAGGGAAACUUACGCUAAUACCGCAUACGACCUACGGGUGAAAGCAGGGGAUCUUCGGACCUUGCGCGAUUGAAUGAGCCGAUGUCGGAUUAGCUAGUUGGCGGGGUAAAGGCCCACCAAGGUGACGAUCCGUAGCUGGUCUGAGAGGAUGAUCAGCCACACUGGAACUGAGACACGGUCCAGACUCCUACGGGAGGCAGCAGUGGGGAAUAUUGGACAAUGGGCGCAAGCCUGAUCCAGCCAUGCCGCGUGGGUGAAGAAGGCCUUCGGGUUGUAAAGCCCUUUUGUUGGGAAAGAAAAGCAGCAGGUUAAUACCCCGCUGUUCUGACGGUACCCAAAGAAUAAGCACCGGCUAACUUCGUG